UACGAGAGGCCCAAACGUUAUUCGGAAUUACUGGGCUUAAAGAGUUCGUAGGUGGCGCGCUAAGUCGGGUGUGAAAUUUCGGAGCUUAACUCCGAAACUGCAUUCGAUACUGGCGUGCUUGAGGACUGGAGAGGAGACUGGAAUUCAUGGUGUAGCAGUGAAAUGCGUAGAGAUCAUGAGGAAGACCAGUGGCGAAGGCGGGUCUCUGGACAGUUCCUGACACUGAGACACGAAGGCCAGGGGAGCAAACGGG
rnacentral:rRNA from 1 species